UACGGAAGGUGCAACGUUGCUCGGAAUUAUUGGGCGUAAAGCGCACGUAGGCGGCUCAAAAGUCCCAUGUGAAAGCCCACGGCUUAACCGGUGGAAGUGCAUGGGAUACUGUUGAGCUUGAGUGACUUAAGAGGAGUCGCGGAAUUCCCGGUGGUAGAGGUGAAAUUCGUAGAUAGUCGGAGGACACCGGUGGCGAAGGCGGCGACCUGGCCGAUACUGACGCUGAGGAGCGAAGCGUGGGAGCAA
rnacentral:rRNA from 1 species